GGCCCUGUGGCCUAAAGGUGAAGGCAUCGGCCUCCGGAGCCGGGGAUUGCGGGUUCGAAUCCCGUCAGGGUCG